AAAUUUUACAGUACACAAAAACACGGGGAAGGCGGGAGAUGGCAAUUCAAGACGAUGAGCAAAACGAGAACAAGGUGAAAGCAGGGGCCAACGUUUCAACAAG
rnacentral:lncRNA from 1 species